rnacentral:lncRNA from 1 species
UUUAGCUCGAAUAAAAGAUACCAGUCAAGUUCCCAACCUGAGCCACACAGUGUGGCCAAUAUAGUUUUCUUUCUCUAAUAAUCUGUGUUGUUCUUUUCCACAGCAUGACAUGGUCAUAUUUUAUCCAAAUGUGAAUUCACUGACGAAGGAACAUGAGGUUGACUUAUUGCUGAGGACUACGAGAAUAAAGUUAUUACAGAAUGAGUCACCUGGAAAACACAGGUAAAUAGAAGAAUGCUGAGAACACGAGUACGUGUUACUCUUUCAUUGGUACUUAACUUUAAGGAUAAAACAUAAAAAUUGGAUACUGCUAAGUGUCCCAAAAAGAUUAAUUUGUGAAAGCAAUAAGUGAUUGCUUUUUUUUUUUAAGGUUUUAUUUAUUUAUUUGACAGAGAGAGAGCACAAGCAGCAGGGAGCAACAGGCCUAGGGAGAGGGAGAAGCACACUUCCCACUGAGCAGGGAGCCUGAUGAGCGACUCAAUCCCAGGACCCUGGGAUCAUUACCUGAGCCAAGGGCAGACACUAAACUAACCGAGCCACCCAGGCAUCCCUGCAUUUCUUUAAAUAACCAUUAGAGAAGGUUUUCUUUUUUCUUUUCUUUUCUUUUCUUUUCUUUUCUUUUCUUUUCUUUUUUCUUUUCUUUUCUUUUCUUUCUUUUGUUUUCUUUUUGAAAACUUCAAAAUUAUCCAAACUCAGAUUUUGAAACCAAUUCUUCCAUUUGGAGAAACAAUAUAACAGAAUUAAUUGGUAUGUAAAAGACACACACAAACGCACUCAAGGCAAAUUUGGAAUCACAGAUCACAAAAGGAUUAUUUUGAUCGUCCAAGAAAGAUCAAAUAUAUUCACAAUUAUAUAUUCAAUUAUACGCACAAAAAAUGUUGAGGGUUUCGAAAGUUAUAUAUUACUAUUUGACAGAUGAGAAAAUUAUAAGCAUAAUAGUACUUUCUUUUUGAACCCAAUUGUUUAAUAGUAAUGAGUGUUUUCUGCUGUAGGUUAAAAUAUUAAAAUUCACAAGUUUUUUGCUUGUUAGAGAAACUU